rnacentral:lncRNA from 1 species
CUCCCACUAGCAAAUAGUACAAGUAGCAGGCUGAUGCUCAAAAGCUAGUAACAAGAAGAAUUAACCUGAAAGUAAGUAGCGGAACAUUGUGCAAGUAGCUUACUAGUUUUGUGGUGCGCGAGGAUCUGUCCUCACUUGGCAAACUUGCAUCAACAAUCUGUAGUAAUACGCGAGGCGCCACUUCUCAUGACGAUCACAGGAAGAACGCCACCACUCGGCGAACAGCUGUUGGCAUCCUACUCUGCAUCACACAGAAACGACACAGGGGGCGGCGUCAAGGCACUGCGCGCGCUCAAGCGGCGAGAUGGAUGUAAUGGCGAUGCUGUGUUGUGUGGUUGCCAUACCAGUCGAGAGCCGACGGCGGAUGUAUGAUCUCUCAGGAAGAAUUUGCUUGCAGACGAUGAGCAAGCAGAGCAGAUUGGUGGAGAGCAGGGGGCAGAGAGAGGUGAUGAAAUCUGCUGGGCAGAGAGGGUGGAUGGAUGGAUGG